AGGGUUUGAUCAUGGCUCAGGACGAACGCUGGCGGCGCGCCUAACACAUGCAAGUCGAACGAGCGAGAGAGAGUUUACUUUUUCGAGCGAGUGGCGAACGGGUGAGUAACGCGUGAGGAACCUGCCUCAAAGAGGGGGACAACAGUUGGAAACGACUGCUAAUACCGCAUAAGCCCACGGCUCGGCAUCGAGCAGAGGGAAAAGGAGCAAUCCGCUUUGAGAUGGCCUCGCGUCCGAUUAGCUAGUUGGUGAGGUAAUGGCCCACCAAGGCGACGAUCGGUAGCCGGACUGAGAGGUUGAACGGCCACAUUGGGACUGAGACACGGCCCAG
rnacentral:rRNA from 1 species